rnacentral:rRNA from 1 species
CCUACGGGUGGCAGCAGUGGGGAAUAUUGCACAAUGGGGGAAACCCUGAUGCAGCGACGCCGCGUGAGUGAAGAAGUAUUUCGGUAUGUAAAGCUCUGUCAGAAGGGAAGAAAAUGACGGUACCUGACCAAGAAGCCCCGGCUAACUACGUGCCAGCAGCCGCGGUAAUACGUAGGGGGCAAGCGUUAUCCGGAUUUACUGGGUGUAAAGGGAGCGUAGACGGCAGGGCAAGUCUGGAGUGAAAGGCGGGGGCCCAACCCCCGGACUGCUCUGGAAACUGCCAGGCUGGAGUGCAGGAGAGGUAAGUGGAAUUCCUAGUGUAGCGGUGAAAUGCGUAGAUAUUAGGAGGAACACCAGUGGCGAAGGCGGCUUACUGGACUGUAACUGACGUUGAGGCUCGAAAGCGUGGGGAGCAAACAGGAUUAGAUACCCGUGUAGUC